rnacentral:rRNA from 1 species
AGAUUGAACGCUGGCGGCAGGCCUAACACAUGCAAGUCGAGCGGAUGAAGGGGGCUUGCUCCUGGAUUCAGCGGCGGACGGGUGAGUAAUGCCUAGGAAUCUGCCUGGUAGUGGGGGAUAACGUCCGGAAACGGGCGCUAAUACCGCAUACGUCCUGAGGGAGAAAGUGGGGGAUCUUCGGACCUCACGCUAUCAGAUGAGCCUAGGUCGGAUUAGCUAGUUGGUGGGGUAAAGGCCUACCAAGGCGACGAUCCGUAACUGGUCUGAGAGGAUGAUCAGUCACACUGGAACUGAGACACGGUCCAGACUCCUACGGGAGGCAGCAGUGGGGAAUAUUGGACAAUGGGCGAAAGCCUGAUCCAGCCAUGCCGCGUGUGUGAAGAAGGUCUUCGGAUUGUAAAGCACUUUAAGUUGGGAGGAAGGGCAGUAAGUUAAUACCUUGCUGUUUUGACGUUACCAACAGAAUAAGCACCGGCUAACUUCGUGCCAGCAGCCGCGGUAAUACGAAGGGUGCAAGCGUUAAUCGGAAUUACUGGGCGUAAAGCGCGCGUAGGUGGUUCAGCAAGUUGGAUGUGAAAUCCCCGGGCUCAACCUGGGAACUGCAUCCAAAACUACUGAGCUAGAGUACGGUAGAGGGUGGUGGAAUUUCCUGUGUAGCGGUGAAAUGCGUAGAUAUAGGAAGGAACACCAGUGGCGAAGGCGACCACCUGGACUGAUACUGACACUGAGGUGCGAAAGCGUGGGGAGCAAACAGGAUUAGAUACCCUGGUAGUCCACGCCGUAAACGAUGUCGACUAGCCGUUGGGAUCCUUGAGAUCUUAGUGGCGCAGCUAACGCGAUAAGUCGACCGCCUGGGGAGUACGGCCGCAAGGUUA